rnacentral:rRNA from 1 species
GGGACACGUGGUAUCCUGUCUGAAUAUGGGGGGACCAUCCUCCAAGGCUAAAUACUCCUGACUGACCGAUAGUGAACCAGUACCGUGAGGGAAAGGCGAAAAGAACCCCGGCGAGGGGAGUGAAAAAGAACCUGAAACCGUGUACGUACAAGCAGUGGGAGCACCUUCGGGUGUGACUGCGUACCUUUUGUAUAAUGGGUCAGCGACUUAUAUUCUGUAGCAAGGUUAACCGUAUAGGGGAGCCGCAGGGAAACCGAGUCUUAACUGGGCGUUAAGUUGCAGGGUAUAGACCCGAAACCCGGUGAUCUAGCCAUGGGCAGGUUGAAGGUUGGGUAACACUAACUGGAGGACCGAACCGACUAAUGUUGAAAAAUUAGCGGAUGACUUGUGGCUGGGGGUGAAAGGCCAAUCAAACCGGGAGAUAGCUGGUUCUCCCCGAAAGCUAUUUAGGUAGCGCCUCGUGAAUUCAUCUUCGGGGGUAGAGCACUGUUUCGGCUAGGGGGUCAUCCCGACUUACCAACCCGAUGCAAACUACGAAUACCGAAGAAUGUUAUCACGGGAGACACACGGCGGGUGCUAACGUCCGUCGUGAAGAGGGAAACAACCCAGACCGCCAGCUAAGGUCCCAAAGUCAUGGUUAAGUGGGAAACGAUGUGGGAAGGCACAGACAGCCAGGAUGUUGGCUUAGAAGCAGCCAUCAUUUAAAGAAAGCGUAAUAGCUCACUGGUCGAGUCGGCCUGCGCGGAAGAUGUAACGGGGCUAAACCAUGCACCGAA